rnacentral:lncRNA from 1 species
UUUAAAUUUAGAAUUACACCAAAUAGACCCAAAAACUGUAUUUUUAUUUUCAAUUGAGAAAUGAUUAAAGAGAUCAACAUGAAUCGUCUUAUAAAUUUCAUGUUAAAGUUUUUUUUAGUAUUGUUGUAACUUUAUAGUUACACGCAUGGCCUAAUACAAUCAUCUACACAGUCGUACUUGGGUUUUUAAUAGGUUAAAUUUCGUACAAAAAGUUUGUCAUACGG